UACAGAGGUCUCAAGCGUUGUUCGGAUUCAUUGGGCGUAAAGGGCGCGUAGGCGGGCUGUCAAGUCUGGGGUGAAAUCCCGCGGCUUAACCGUGGAACUGCCUCAGAUACUGAUGGCCUCGAGGGAGAUAGGGGCGAGCGGAACUAAUGGGUGGAGCGGUGAAAUGCGUUGAUAUCAAUUAGGAACUCCGGGUGGCGAAGGCGGCUCGCUGGGUCUCUUCUGA
rnacentral:rRNA from 1 species